UGCUGAUGGUGGAUCCAUAGCGUGCACAGGGUAGAAAAACCACUUGGACACUAAAUUUAUACUCGUUUAUUUGAACAGGGAGAGCAGGUAGUAUGACAUUAACAAUUUAACUGAACAGUAGUACAAACAUCAGAAAAGGUGUCAAAUAUCCAAGUCUUCAUCUUACAUAGGUUCGUGGCAACACAGCAAAUCCUACUAGUUCUACCGUGUGUUCUCAAACCCUGCACAGCGCACGCGCUUAUUACUUUCCCAUUACUAUAACAACCUCCUAUCUUCUGAAACAUGUUCUGAAUAACCAAAACCAACAAACUGAACAUGACAAUCCAGAUGAGAAGCGCUGUGGGCUGUGGCAGCCUAUGU